GACAGAGGUGCCAAGCGUUAGGCGGAAUCACUGGGCUUAAAGCGUGUGUAGGCGGGUCGUUAAGUGUCUUGUGAAAUCCCCCGGCUCAACCGGGGAAUGGCUGGGCAUACUGGCGAUCUUGAGCAGUCUAGGGGCAGAUGGAACAGACGGUGGAGCGGUGAAAUGCGUAGAUAUCGCUUGGAACGCCAAAGGUGAAAACAGGUUGCUGGGGUUGUGCCGACGCUGAGACACGAAAGCCAGGGGAGCAAACGGG
rnacentral:rRNA from 1 species